AGCGAGGUAUAGAGUUCCUACGUGCCACUUAAACUAGUCGUAGGAACUUAAUACCGUGCUCU
rnacentral:pre_miRNA from 1 species